AAAGUGCGAUAAGGGGACUCCGAGUGUGAAGGCAUAGAGCCUUCACUUUUGUACACCGUAAGGUGGUGCACGAAUAAGGACUGGGCAAGACUGGUGCCAGCCGCCGCGGUAAUAUCGGCAGUCCGAGUGAUGGCCGAUCUUAUUGGGCCUAAAGCGUCCNNNGCUGGCUGAACAAGUCCGUUGGGAAAUCUGUCCGCUUAACGGGCAGGCGUCCAGCGGAAACUGUUCAGCUUGGGACCGGAAGACCUGAGGGGUACGUCUGGGGUAGGAGUGAAAUCCUGUAAUCCUGGACGGACCGCCGGUGGCGAAAGCGCCUCAGGAGAACGGAUCCGACAGUGAGGGACGAAAGCUAGGGUCUCGAACCGGAUUAGAUACCCGGGUAGUCCUAGCUGUAAACGAUGUCCGCUAGGUGUGGCGCAGGCUACGAGCCUGCGCUGUGCCGUAGGGAAGCCGAGAAGCGGACCGCCUGGGAAGUACGUCUGCAAGGAUGAAACUUAAAGGAAUUGGCGGGGGAGCAUUACAACCGGAGG
rnacentral:rRNA from 1 species